rnacentral:tRNA from 1 species
UCCCUGGUGGCUCAGAGGGUAAAGAAUCUGCCUGCAAUGCAGGAGACCCAGGUUCGAUUCCUGGUCAGGAAG